rnacentral:lncRNA from 1 species
GCAACUGAUGCAUCUUCUAACCAGGCUGGGAACACAACACGCGCACACGCGCACACACACACGCACGCACCCACCCCACCCGGCUGCCGGACGCAAGCGUAAGUCAAGGACUUGCAUGCUAGAAUCAGACAGAAAAUCCAGAAAAGCCACGUUAUUUAACAGAACCCUACAAGGUCAGCUUUGAGUCAAAGCAGACCACAUUUCUCUCGGCCCUCGCGAGUGAGGUCGCCAAAUACUCGACGCCUCAAGAGCGAGCCGAGGAGGCAGAGGCCGACCAAGCCGGCCUCUCGGCAGCCCCGCCCGGCGCCCCGCGGAGAACGCCCGGGUGCGGCUCGAGGGAAGUUGUGUCAAGUCCCACGCGCGGCCCGCGGAGAACCCAGGGGCGGCCCGCGCGCGUCGGCCUAGCGGGGAGGGCUGCUCCGGGACACGGUGCGGCGGCCGCGGGCGAGUUGGACGCGCUGGCAGAGCCGGGCCGAAGGCGGCGGGCGUCUCCGGGCAGCCAUGUUCGCGGCGCCCGCCCGCGCAGCAGGACGGAGCCCUGACAGCAAUGUUUGCUACGGCCUCCCUCUGCAGUCAGCCUAAAGCAAGGAGCUGGAGGUAGAUGAGGCAAAGGUAAAGGAGACCAAAACAGUAUUUUAAAGAAAAAAUCAUUUAUCUUCAAAUAGGCUCCAAACCUAAGAUGGUGUAUACUGUUAGAGGACAAGAACCUGCUUCUAGCCAUCUUUGCGUCUCCAGGACCUGACUUGUGACCAUUCAAUAAGAGUUUGAUAGAUGGACAGACUAAUGAAUAGAUGAAGAUGAUUAGAAGCCAAAAUUUCUGAAUCUUCCUAGCACCCAGAACAUGGCUUAACAUCAAGGAAAUGCUCACUAAAUACUGUCAUAAUGGAAUGAAU